GCGAAAGUGGUGGAAUGGUAGACACGUUACUUUGAGGUGGUAAUUAUUGUAGGUUCAAUUCCUAUCUUUCGUA
rnacentral:tRNA from 1 species